rnacentral:rRNA from 1 species
GACGAACGCUGGCGGCGUGCUUAACACAUGCAAGUCGAACGGAAAGGCCCUGCUUUUGUGGGGUGCUCGAGUGGCGAACGGGUGAGUAACACGUGAGUAACCUGCCCUUGACUUUGGGAUAACUUCAGGAAACUGGGGCUAAUACCGGAUAGGAGCUCCUGCUGCAUGGUGGGGGUUGGAAAGUUUCGGCGGUUGGGGAUGGACUCGCGGCUUAUCAGCUUGUUGGUGGGGUAGUGGCUUACCAAGGCUUUGACGGGUAGCCGGCCUGAGAGGGUGACCGGCCACAUUGGGACUGGAAUACGGGCCCAACUCCUACCGGAGGCAACAGUGGGGAAUAAUGGCCAAUGGGCGGAAGCCUGAUGCAACAACGCCCCGUGCGGGAAGAAGGCCUUCCGGUUGUAAACCGCUUUUGCCUGUGACGAAGCGUUAGUGACGGUAAUGGGUAAAAAAGCACCGGCUAACUACGUG